UACGUAGGGGGCUAGCGUUGUCCGGAUUUAUUGGGCGUAAAGAGCGUGUAGGCGGCCAGGUAGGUCUGCUGUGAAAACUCGAGGCUCAACCUCGAGACGUCGGCGGAAACCAUCUGGCUAGAGUCCGGAAGAGGAGAGUGGAAUUCCUGGUGUAGCGGUGAAAUGCGCAGAUAUCAGGAAGAACACCCGUGGCGAAGGCGGCG
rnacentral:rRNA from 1 species